rnacentral:snRNA from 1 species
GUGCUCGCUUCAGCAGCACAUAUACUAAAAUUGGAAUGAUACAGAGAAGAUUAGCAUGGUCCCUGCGCAAGGAUGACACACAAAUUCGUGAAAAGAAAAAAAAAUGA